CCCCUGCUGGGGGGUGCCUUCCAGUUAGGCUGCUCGGGGGUCGGGGGUCAGGGGUCAGGGACCCACUUGAGGAGGCAGUCUGCCCUUUCUCAGAUCUCCAGCUGCGUGCUGGGAGAACCACUGCUCUCUUCAAAGCUGUCAGACAGGGACAUUUAAGUCUGCAGAGGUUACUGCUGUCUUUUUGUUUGUCUGUGCCCUGCCCCCAGAGGUGGAGCCUACAGAGGCAGGCAGGCCUCCUUGAGCUGUGGUGGGCUCCACCCAGUUCGAGCUUCCCAGCUGCUUUGUUUACCUAAUCAAGCCUGGGCAAUGGCGGGCGCCCCUCCCCCAGCCUCGCUGCCGCCUUGCAGUUUGAUCUCAGACUGCUGUGCUAGCAACCAGCGAGACUCCGUGGGCGUAGGACCCUCCACGCCAGGUGCCGGAUAUAAUCUCGGGGAUAUAAUCUCCCGUUUUUUAAGCCGGUCCGAAAAGCACAAUAUUCAGGUGGGAGUGACCCGAUUUUCCAGGUGGACAUUUGUGUUGAUUUCAUAUCUUUGCUAUUGUGAAUACUACUGCAAUUAACAUGCAAGUGCAACCAAUCAAGCUGAUGUCUUCAAUUUAUUCAUGUAUUCAUUCAUUAUUCAUUGAUAUAUAGCCAAUCAAGCAAGCAAGCAAACAAAAAUAUAUGAGUGCCUAUCAUGGACCAAAAUUUUGCUGGCUAAAGACUGAAGAAAUAGAAGAUAAAGUUUAAAUACAGUUCAUUUGUCUUCUUUAUAGACUCACUUUUUGCAGCAGACAAUGUGCUAUGUCUGAAACAGUAAAUUCCAGGGACCUUAGAAGAAAAUAACUGCACCUAACUCAAUUCUAAGUAAUGAGAAACUCUUUGUGUAAUCUGAGGUGAGCAUGAGGAUGCAAGGAGUCAGUCAAGCCAAAGAAAGACAAGAUUGAAUGCUGGAUAUGAAGAAAGCAAGGAGAACCAGGUAAGAGGGAGAGUUGAGAAGAAAAAUGUGUUUACCUUUAUUUGUCACACGGGAAUCAAAAUGCUGGCCUGGGACUCUCAAAUAUGUUAUCAAAUAUGAUCUACCAAAUGGUGUUCCAAGCUAAAGUGAUGUUGGCUUUCACAGUACAUUGGAAGAAAUUGGGGAGUGAAGUAUACAAACACAUUCCUAAACUCCUAAAUGUUAAAUAAAAGCUAUAAGAUUAAAAAAAUAUAAUUCCACAAUGCAGACUUCUUUUCAUCCUAUUAUAUCAUCCUUUUCUCUAUUUUACCUUGAUUUUCCUGCAGGGGAAGGGGUCUUCCAGGCAAGGAAAGUAUCAUUCUCCCCACAAACUAUACACUUGGGUGACCCCAAGGAGUAGUACAAUGAUUAUAUGCGGCGGUAGCUAAAUUAAAGGGUACAGAAUGAUAACCAUGAAAGAGAAAGGAGAAAAUAAAUUCUAAGAUUCUGAUAGAGAAAUAAAAACAGGAGCAGUUGAGGUCACUGUAGAAAUAAUUUUUUUUUUGUAUUGUAGCUUUUGUAAAAAUUAAAUAUAUUGCAGAUGAUAAUAAUGGUCCCAAUUCUUCAACACUUCGUGGUUCUAUCCCCUUUGCCAUCUACUUUGUAGUGCCUUUCCUUUCUGAGUCUGAGUUCAGCCAUGUUUGCUUUGGGCCAAGUGAAUCUUAACAGGCAUCACACAAAAGGAGGGUUAGAAGGGCUCUUGGGCUUCUUCACUCUUUCCCUCUCUAUUGCCAUGUGAAGGACAUACCUGGGCUAAGCCAGUGGCCCCAGGAGGAGGAAGAGAGACACACAGAGGUGAGUCACUCCAACCAUUCUAAUCAAGGCCAUUCUAAUCAGCUGACAGCUAGCCAAACUCCAGAUAUCUGAGUACACCAAGUGAGAAACAGAGAAGCUGCCUACAGGACCAUCCCUGAUAUCUGAGCAUAACUGCUUAUUAUUCUACUGAGAUUUUGUGUUGUCUAUCACACAACUUUAUUAUUUCAGUCGAUAUUUAAUACAAAGUAAAUGAAAAUGGCCAGGCACAGUGGCUCACUCAUGUAAUCCCAGCACUUUGGGAGGCCAAGGCGGGUGCAUCUCCUGAGGUCAGGAGUUCCAGACCAGCCUGGCCAACAUGGCAAAACCCCGUCUCCACUAAAAAUACAAAAAUUAGCCUGGCAUGGUGGCACGGGCAUGUAAUCCCAGCCACCCGGGAGGCUGAGGCAGGAGAAUCGCUUGAACACAGGAGGCAGAGGUUGCCGUCAGCACUGCACUCCAGCCCGGGCUUCAGAGCAAGACUCCAUCUCAAAAACAAACACCAACAAAAGUAAAUGAUAAACAUUAACCUUUAUUAAUAACAAUUGUUAAUAUGGUAGUCGGUUUUGUUUGCUGUAUUUUUGUUUCUCUCUCUCUCUCUCUCCCCCUUGUUUGUUUCUAGGAAAUUCCAGGAUUGUGAAAGAACGCACUAUGGCAUUUGAUAUAGAGAUACCCAUAGCUCUUAUAUCGUUACUGAGAAUUUUGGCCUUCAAGUUCAGUCUGAGCCUAUCAUUGCGGACAGAGUGAUGAGAAUACCCUGCUCCAAGCUGUUCAGAAUGUGAGAAAUUCCUAGAGAUUAAAUUAAAAAGCGGCUACAUGGCCUGAUUACCAAAAGUCUAAAAUAUAUGAAGUUAAACUGAUGAAAGCUGUGAGCAGAGCCUAGCCAGGGCCUAAGAUACGGAGUGCGAAUUAUGGACAUGACGAUGAAGAAAUAUUUAAGAUUCCUUAUACAGCUAGUAAGUGUAAGAGGAAAGAUUCAGUCAUGCUAGAGUCCAGAAUUCAUGUGAAGUGUUCAGGAAAGGGACACUUAUAACAAUCAUCUGGAGAGGUGUGCAUGGCACGGACCUGAGCUUUCCUGCCAAAGCCAUCAGACUGCGCCAUCUUGGAACUUGAUUCUCUAGCCCCAGUCAAGCUUCCAGAUGAGUGCAGCCCUGGCUGAUGUCUUCAUAUCGAUCUCCUGAGACACUGUGGGCUAGAUCACUCAGAUAAGCCACUCUUGAAACACUGUACCACAGAAACUGUGAAAUAAUCAAUGUGUGCUGUUUUAUAGUUUUAGUUUUGAGGCAGUUUGCUCCCCAGUAACAGAUAAGUAAUAGAGCAAAUAUCUCAUCAAUCAUGCUUCUUAGAAUCAGAAUCCAUAGAAGAGGAAACUGACAUAAAUCACUUGUUUUUAAAUUAUCUCACAAUAUUUUUUUUAUUUGUUUGUUUUGUUUGUUUGCCUCAGCCCCAAUAUCACUAGGCCUUAAAUGAUGCUUAAUUCACUAAAUUGUAACUUUUAGAUUUAUCAGCUUUCAGGGUUCAUUAAAACUGUUCUGUUCUGGAACAUAUCAGAGUCCUUUUCCUCUUGACAGAGAUUUUAUUUUCCACAUUCUGAUUGAGAUCCCGAGAGAAUAGGAAGAAAAUGUGUAUAUUCUGAUGGAAAGUAAAAGCUGUCAUUUCAUAAAUUAUACUUCUGAUUCUGAAAGAAAGAAAUAUAUCUUCCUUUUCCUGCUCUCUUAAAGGAAAUUGUGUGUCCAUUGAUUGUCUCUGCUUCAUCACAUGCAAGUUCUAUGACCAGU
rnacentral:lncRNA from 1 species